rnacentral:rRNA from 1 species
UCAAGCUGUAAAGGGCGCAAGGGGAAUGCCUUGGCACUGAGAGCCGACGAAGGACGCGACAAGCUGCGAUAAGCUACGGGGAGCCGCAAAUGGGCUUUGAUCCGUGGAUUUCCGAAUGGGGAAACCCGGCAGAGCAAUACUCUGUCAACAUGUACUGAAUACAUAGGUACAUGUGGGGAACCGCCUGAACUGAAACAUCUAAGUAGGGCGAGGAAGAGAAAUCAACCGAGAUUCCGCUAGUAGUGGCGAGCGAACGCGGAAGAGGCCAAACCGGAGGUAGCAAUAUUUCCGGGGUUAGGACUGCAAUAUGUAGCUUUCAUUUUUAACCGAAUGCUUUGGGAAGAGCAGCAAUAUAGGGUGAUAGCCCCGUAGGUGAAAAGAAUGGAGCGCUAGCAGUAUCCAGAGUACCAGCGGACACGUGAAACCCGCUGGGAAGAUGGGGGGACCAUCCUCCAAGCCUAAAUACUACUCAGUGACCGAUAGUGGAGCAGUACCGUGAGGGAAAGGUGAAAAGUACCCCGGGAGGGGAGUGAAAAAGAACCUGAAACCUUGUGCCUACAAGCACCGAGAGCACGUUAAAGUGUGAUCGGGUACUUUUUGUAGAACGGUCCGGCGAGUUAAUAUUUGCAGCGAGGUUAAGUAACUGGAGUUACGGAGCCGCAGCGAGAGCGAGUCUGAAUAGGGCGUAUGAAGUUGCAGGUAUUAGACCCGAAACCGGGUGACCUAUCCAUGAGCAGGCUGAAGCGGUGGUAAGACACCGUGGAGGGCCGCACCCACGUCUGUUGAAAAAGCCGGGGAUGACUUGUGGAUAGCGGAGAAAUUCCAAUCGAACUCGGAGAUAGCUGGUUCUCCCCGAAAUAGCUUUAGGGCUAGCGUUAUUUUAGAUUACCGGAGGUAAAGCACUGAAUGGUCUAGGGGCCGCGAGGUUACCAAAGCCUAUCAAACUCUGAAUGCCGGAUAAUUGAUGAAUAGCAGUCAGACUGUGUGAGAUAAGUCUCAUAGUCAAAAGGGAAACAGCCCAGAUCUACAGCUAAGGUCCCAAAUGAACACUAAGUGGAAAAUGAUGUGAAACUGCGAAGACAACCAGGAUGUUGGCUUAGAAGCAGCCACUCAUUCAAAGAGUGCGUAAUAGCUCACUGGUCGAGUGGUUUUGCGCAGAAAAUGUAACGGGGCUAAGUGUUCAACCGAAGCUUAGGCAUUGCAGUAAUGCAUUGGGUAGGGGAGCGUCGUAUGCGGGGCGAAGUCAGAGCGGAAGCACUGGUGGACUGCAUACGAGUGAGAAUGCCGGAAUAAGUAGCGAGAAUUAUGUGAGAAUCAUAAUGGCCGAAAAUCUAAGGUUUCUUGGGGAAGGUUCGUCCGCCCAAGGUUAGUCGGGAGCUAAGCUCAGGCCGAAAGGCGUAGGCGAUGCACAUACGGUAGAAAUUCCGUAACCACCGAACAUUUAAGCUAGAGGGACGCUUUCUUUAAGGUUAUCCCGGGCGAUGGUUGCCCCGGGCGUAAGGGACCGAAAUAUAGUAGGGAAGUAACUGGCGAGAGAGACGAGAAAAGCUCUAGUGUAUACUAAGGUGCCCGUACCGCAAACCGACACAGGUAGAUGGGAUGAGUAUUCUAAGGCCAACGGGAGAAGGGUUGUUAAGGAACUCGGCAAAUUGGCCCCGUAACUUCGGGAUAAGGGGCGCCUGCGAGAGCAGGCCGCAGUGAAAAGGCCCAAGCGACUGUUUAGCAAAAACACAGCUCUCUGCUAAAUCGAAAGAUGACGUAUAGGGGGUGACGCCUGCCCGGUGCUGGAAGGUUAAGGGGAGUGCUUAGCGCAAGCGAAGGUGCGAACUUAAGCCCCAGUAAACGGCGGCCGUAACUAUAACGGUCCUAAGGUAGCGAAAUUCCUUGUCAGGUAAGUUCUG